UACGAGUGGUGCUAGCAUUAUUCGGAAUCAUUGGGCGUAAAGGGUGCGUAGGCGGUGUAUUAAGUCAACUGUUAAAUUCCUUAGCUUAACUAGGGGUAAGCAGUAGAUACUGGUAUGCUAGAAGAUGGAAGAGAGAAGUGGAAUUCUUGGAGUAGCGGUAAAAUGCGUAGAUCUCAAGAGGAACACCGAUGGCGAAGGCAGCUUCUUGGUCCAUUCUUGACGCUGAGGCACGAAAGCGUGGGGAGCAAACAGG
rnacentral:rRNA from 1 species